rnacentral:rRNA from 1 species
AGUGAACGCUGGCGGUAGGCCUAACACAUGCAAGUCGAACGGCAGCACAGUAAGAGCUUGCUCUUACGGGUGGCGAGUGGCGGACGGGUGAGGAAUACAUCGGAAUCUACUUUUUCGUGGGGGAUAACGUAGGGAAACUUACGCUAAUACCGCAUACGACCUACGGGUGAAAGCAGGGGAUCUUCGGACCUUGCGCGAUUGAAUGAGCCGAUGUCGGAUUAGCUAGUUGGCGGGGUAAAGGCCCACCAAGGCGACGAUCCGUAGCUGGUCUGAGAGGAUGAUCAGCCACACUGGGACUGAGACGCGGUCCAGACUCCUACGGGAGGCAGCAGUGGGGAAUAUUGGACAAUGGGCGCAAGCCUGAUCCAGCCAUACCGCGUGGGUGAAGAAGGCCUUCGGGUUGUAAAGCCCUUUUGUUGGGAAAGAAAAGCAGCAGGUUAAUACCCCGCUGUUCUGACGGUACCCAAAGAAUAAGCACCGGCUAACUUCGUG